AACGCUGGCGGCGUGCCUAACACAUGCAAGUCGAACGGGGCAAUUUCUUCGGGAGAUUGCUUAGUGGCGAACGGGUGAGUAACGCGUGAGAAACCUGCCUCUCAGUGGGGGACAACAGUUGGAAAACGACUGCUAAUACCGCAUAACAUAUUCGAAGGGCAUCCUUUGAAUAUCAAAGCUUUAUGUGCUGAGAGAUGGUCUCGCGUCUGAUUAGCUAGAUGGCGGGGUAACGGCCCACCAUGGCGACGAUCAGUAGCCGGUCUGAGAGGAUGAACGGCCACAUUGGGACUGAGAUACGGCCCAGACUCCUACGGGAGGCAGCAGUGGGGAAUAUUGGGCAAUGGGGGAAACCCUGACCCAGCAACGCCGCGUGAAGGAAGAAGGCCUUCGGGUUGUAAACUUCUUUUAGCAGGGACGAAGAACGUGACGGUACCUGCAGAAAAGCAACGGCUAACUACGUG
rnacentral:rRNA from 1 species